AAACACUUUCAGCAACGGAUGUCUUGGCUCCCACAACGAUGAAGAACGCAGCGAAAUGCGAUACGUAAUGCGAAUUGCAAAUCUUAGUGAGUCAUCAAAAUUUUGAACGCAUCUUGCACUUC
rnacentral:rRNA from 1 species